AUUGAACGCUGGCGGCAUGCUUUACACAUGCAAGUCGAACGGUAACAGGCCUUCGGGUGCUGACGAGUGGCGAACGGGUGAGUAAUGCAUCGGAACGUACCCAGAGGUGGGGGAUAACGCAGCGAAAGCUGUGCUAAUACUGCAUGUGAUCUGAGGAUGAAAGCGGGGGACCGAGCAGCAAUGUUUGGCCUCGCGCCUUUGGAGCGGCCGAUGUCGGAUCAGCUAGUUGGUGGGGUAAAGGCCUACCAAGGCGACGAUCCGUAGCUGGUCUGAGAGGACGACCAGCCACACUGGGACUGAGACACGGCCCAGACUCCUACGGGAGGCAGCAGUGGGGAAUUUUGGACAAUGGGCGCAAGCCUGAUCCAGCAAUGCCGCGUGCGGGAAGAAGGCCUUCGGGUUGUAAACCGCUUUUGGCAGGAACGAAACGGUGUCCGCUAAUACCGGGCGCUAAUGACGGUACCUGCAGAAUAAGCACCGGCUAACUACGUG
rnacentral:rRNA from 1 species